CUCUCUCUCUGACUGUCUUUGAGCUGGGACAUCAGUCUUCUGCCUUUGGACUUGGACUCAGACGGAUUUAUACCAUUGGCUCUUCUAGUUCUCAGGCCUUUGCACUCAGACUGGAACUACACCAUUGGCUCUUCUAGGUCUUUAUCUUGCUGGCUACAGAUCUUGGACCUCCCAGCCUCCACACUUUUUGUUUGGGACAGAAAUUCUGGAGCAGCAUGGCUGGGUGGUUCUGGCUCAGGGUCUCUCAUAAGCUUGCCUCCAGUGUCAGCCAGGGCUGCAGUCAUCUGAAGGCUUGACUGGGGCUGAGAGAGGAGGAUCUACUCUCAAGGUGGAUCACUCACUGGCAGGUGAAGACAAAACAGUAAGACAGCCAUCUGCAAGCCAGGAAGAGAGCCCUCACAAGGAAUCAAAUCAGCCAGAACCUUGAUCUUGGACUUCCCAGCCUCCAGAUCUGUGAAAAAUAAAUUUUGUUGUUUAAGCCACCCAGUUGAUGGUAUUUUGUUAUGGCAGUUCAAGCAGACUGAUAGACCAUAUUAUAAAGAUUCCCUUUCCUCUAUUUUCUAAUAUCACCUUUCUUACUUUCCAUUAAGCACUCAUGGAUAGCCUUCUUGCAGUACUGGCUGUAAUCCCAAAAGACACAAUUCCAAGUGCUGUAUAUCUGAAUGUUGAAAUACUAAAAGAUCAAAAUCCAUAAAGAUCAAAAUCUCCAAAGUCUAAAAUCCUAUAAAUCACAAUCCUGAAAGAUUAAAAUCUAGAAUGUUGAAAUCCUGAAAGCCAAAUUCUGGGGGAGGAAUUACUGUGUUUUUGGUUGUACACAGGAUAGUUGCAUCAUGUUAGGUGGAACUAUUACCUUGUUAUUGUCUUUAUUUAAGGAGAUAAAAAGAGGUAUGUGCAGGUGCCAAGUUGGCAAGGGGUGGAGUUGUGGACUUAAUUUGAGGCAUCAUCUUGACUGGAAUAAGGAAUACCUACAAACUUGGUGAAGCAUUAUUUUGGGUGUGUCUGUGAUGGUGUUUCCAGAGGAGAUUAGUGUGUGAGUCUGGGUGGACUAGGUGGGGAAGAUCUGCCCUCAAUAUUGGUGAGCACCAUUUAAUCAUCUGGGGGCCCAGAAAGAACAAAUGCAGAAGGUGAAUUUGUCUCUCUCUGAGAGCUGGGAGAGGUUUUACUUCUGCUGCCUUGGACAUCAGAACUCCAGGCUCACCAGCCUUUGAACUCCAGGACUUAACACCAGGUUUUACCCAGGUCCUGAGGCUUUUGGCCUCAGUCGGAGACUAACACAGCUGGCUGCCCUGAUUCUCAAUGUAAAAACAUGGAAAAUUCCUCAAUAAAUGAUAUGUCCUUUUUGUACAUCUGCAUUGUUAAAAAUAAAAUCUCUUGAAAUCUUGGCUCUUUGGGCAACUGCAUAUGCAGUGGUGACCCAUAAUGGUUUUUGAAGGAUCUCAUCAAAAGAUGUAAGUUGUCCAUCACAGUAUUUCAGAUGACUGCAGUUAUAAAGCUGGGUGCACACAACUACCAACUAUAGUGACAGGUGUUUGUACAUUUCACUUUUUGACCUAAUUCUUUAUGAAUAUGGUUAAUCUGCUCAUAACUGCUAUACCCCUGUGACUGUCCCUAGAAUACAUGAGCACUUAUGCUUACAAAAAUAUGUAGGUUAUUAUUGCCUAUUUUAUCAUAUAAAGUGGCCUAUGAAGUGUUCUGUCAUUUUUAAACAUGUUUCCCAAAUAAAACCCCUCUUAAAAUGUAAAAGAAAGUCUUUUAAAUAAUUUUUAAAAUUAUUUUUUCUGGAAUUAUAUUUUUGGGACUUUAAUCUUUCAGGAUUUUAAUGUUCAGAAUUAUGGCAUUUGAGAUUGUGUCUUUCAAGAUUAUGGCUCCAACCCACCUCACUGAAGCCAUCAGAUGCCAUUGUCUCUUCAAAGUCCUUCUAACUUCUGCCCUCAAAGACACUGCUCCAUUUUUAGUUUUUGUUGUUGCAGCAUCACCUUCCUUCUGGGUACCAAUAUCUAUAUCAGUUAUCUGUUGCUGCUAACAAAUCACCUCAAAACUUACUGGCUUAAAGCAAUAAUAAUCAUUUAUUAUCUCCCAUGAUUUCUAUGGGUCAGGAAUACAGGAGCAGCUUGGCUGAGUGGUUCUGGCUCAGGGUUUCUCAUGAAGCUGCAGUCAGAUGGUGUCUAGGACCACUGAAAAGGCUUCUUGACUCAUGUAUCCAGUUCCCGGGCUAAAAAGCCUUGAACAGCUAAGCGCUAGAAUAGCCAGGGCUUCUCAGGCAUCUUUAUGUAGCCUCUCCAUGUAAUUUCUGCAGCAUGGGAAGAAGGGCACCCAAGGCAUGUGUUUCAAGAGACAGCCAGAUAGAAUUCAUAUGCUUUUCAUGACCUGUCUCAGAAGUCACAUAGCAUCACAUCUGCCACACUCUAUUGGUGAGAAUACUCACAAGCCCAGCCCAGAUCAAACGGGAGGGAACAUAGACUCCAUCUCUUGGUGGGGGAAAUGAAACAUGUCAUAGCGUGUGCACACACACACACACACACACACACAGCCUCAUUCCUUGGUAUCCAUGGCGAAUUGGUUCCUUCCUUAGACACCAAAAUCCAAAGAUGCUCAAGUCCCUGAUAUAAAAUGAUGUAGAAUUUGUAGACUUUCCAUAUAACACACACAUCCUCCCAUGUACUUUAAAUAAUCUCUGAUUACCUGUAAUACCUAAUAUAAUAUAAAUGUUAUAGAAAUAGUUGUUAUUCCAUAUUGUUUAGGAAAUAAUGAAAAGAAAAGAUAUGUGGAACCUGUGGAUAUGGAGGGCUAAGUAUCUAUAUAUAGUCAUUUUUGGGAAAUGUAAUGUGACAUAAACACUCAGCACCCAGCAUCUAGCAGGUCUUUGAUGAUUACUUGUUGCUCGUUUGUUGCUUUACUGACUUUGUGGCUUAAUAAUAAUGAAAGUAGUAGUAAAAGUAGUAAUGAUAAUAAUAACUACAACAACCAUUCAUUAAGCUCUUAUUACUCUGUGAAGGACUUGUUUUAAAAUUUCCCUUUUGAUUGAAGUGUAACUUGUUGCAAUAAAGCUCACAAAACUUAA